rnacentral:lncRNA from 1 species
CUGUUUUCACUAACGUUAGCUAAUUUCUACUAAUUUUUAGUAGACCACUAAAAUGACUUGAAUGUUCAACAUGUGUAGGGGUGAUGGUCGGUUCACACGAAUUUUUGGUAGACUACUAAUUUCUACUAAUUGAGUCGGUUCACACGAGAACCACAACCGAACUAAUUACAAUAAAAUGAUAAAUUUGGUUCUGUUGUAAAUAUAUAGGGUGGAGCCCACCUCCAUUAGAAGGAGCCUUGCCUAUAAAUAAGGCUUCCCCCCUCUCAUUGUAUUUUGCUAAGAUAUGAGAUUGAUAAUACUAAGAGAUGAACCAAUCCAAGGGUUUUUCUACCUCUAAAUUCUCUCUCAAAUUCUUUGGGUUUAUAACACGUUAUCAGCACGAAUUCGCUCAAAACAAUACCAGCUGAAUUCUCCUAUGAAACCCAAAGCCUCUCUCUCCGUCAUUUAUCUCUCAAACUUCUCCUUUGUAGAUCAAACAGAAACCAAAGUCUCUCUCUUUGGUUUUCCUACAAAAAAAAAAUAUAAAAAAAAAAAAAAUAUGCCACAAAAGUGUCUAUCUUUUUCUAUGCCUGGGAAAAUCCCAUCAGUGUUGUUCAACGCCACGUUUGGUUUCGAAAGUGGUUCGUGGGCAGCGGAUGCAUGCCCAUCCGUUCUUCGACGUGGAAGACUGUUGCCUCAGCUGCAAGCCAACCACCGAAGCCAACAAGAACCGGAGCCUACACGCCCUGACCUCCCCGACGGCGUCAUCUCCUCCGUCGUCUCACCGGAGCUGCGAGGUUUGGACCGAGGCUUGCUCGGAAGAGGUACUGAGCUUCACGAAGCGGCCGGAGAACGAGGAGUGGCUGAAGACGAUCCCGCGGAGGAUCCACGAGCAUCCGGAGCUGGCGUUUGAGGAGUUCGAGACGAGCAGGUUGGUUCGGGAGGAGCUAGACCGGAAUUCGGGCUUGGAUCGGAACCGGAGGUCCGCCUCUUGUUGCCGUUAGAGCUGACAUGGAGGCUUGGAUCGGAACCGGAGUCUCUUGCUGCCGUCAAAGUCAACCGAGUCCGAGCCUUCCGAGACGACGACGCCUUGAACCGCGGGGACGAGAUCGCCCUGAGUCUGCUGGAAGCGAUCGAGGACUCGACGGCGGCCAUCGUGAUCUUGUCGCCGAGAUAUGCCGAGUCAAAAUGGUGUCUGGAAGAGUCCGCAACAGAGCUGCUGUGCCGACCUUGAUCCGACCCAUCGAGACCCUUCCUGCUACUUCUACAAACACCACUGCCUUUCUCAACGUUAAUAUUUGAGGUGUUGGAACAUUGGUCCAAUAUGGCAGGUCGGGUUCAGUGUUGCUUUAUUCUGGCGUGCCCAUUCCAAACAAAAAGUUGGCUGUGCUACUUUUAUCUGGUGGACAGAGAAUAUGCUGUCGAUUGAAAAUAAGGGAAAGCUGGCACGCUGUGUCUGCACCAAACAAAACCCACCGAAAGAAAGAAAAAAAAAAUAAAAAAAAAUAAAUAAAUAAAUAAAAAAUAAAAAUUUAUGCUUUCUAUUACUUUAUUAUUUCUCUACAGUAUUUAUUUAAAAGGGUGGUACGGGUUUAUUGUCCACGCCUUUACUUUUAUUUAAAUGUAUGGAGCAGAAUUAGUGCCCAUACAAGCACCUUUACUUUAUCGCAAAUUUACUUUUACUUAAAGUAUGAUGUGGAAUUAACCCUCACACUUUAUGAAAUUUACUUUACCGCACAUUUAUUUUAUUUACUGUAUGGUGUAGGUUUAUUACCCAUACAACAUUAUUUAUUUAAAAGGGUGGUGCGGGUUUAUCGUCCACGCCUUUACUUUUAUUUAAAUGUAUGGAGCAGAAUUAGUGCACAUACAAGCACGUUUACUUUAUCGCAAAUUUACUUUUACUUAAAGUAUGAUGUGGAAUUAACCCUCAUACUUUAUGAAUUUACUUUACCGCACAUUUAAUUUUAUUUAAGAUAUGGUGCAGAAUUAACGUCCAUAUAGCAAACAAUUUAUUUUAUCGCACAUUUACUUUUACUUAAAGUAUGAUGAGGAAUUAACCCUCAUACUUUAUGAAUUUAAUUUACCGCACAUUUACAUUUAUUUAAAGUGUGGUGCGGGUUUAUCGUCCAUACCAGUAAUUUAUUUACCAGCAAUUUAUUUUAUGGAUUAAAUGUGUUGUAUGAUGAGUUUUUACAGUAUGCAGAUCAGGACCAGAAGUUCCUUGAUCCUCAUCAUACAAUUACAUCAUGACUUGAAGAUCCUUGAUGAUGAUGUUAAUAUGAGAGCUGGCAGUCUCUCCGGUACUAUAUUGGUAAACAUGUGAUUGGACUUGAGGAUCCUUGAUCCCUGACAUGUAAAUAAGGACCUGGGGUUCCUUAAUGAUGUAACAGUACCGUAUUGUUUCAUAAUGCCGUACACAUGGAUGAUAACUGUACUGGCAAAUGUACUGUCCACAUGAAUAGAUACGUAUUCAUGACUAGAUGAAUAGUACCGGAUAUAUGAAUAGUGACGUAUAUAUAAAUAUUCACCAUUUUAGGUAAACCGUCACUACAUUCAAAAAAGGGAACCUGCAGUUCCUUAAACUCAUGGAUGAGCAAUUAAAUGAGAUGCCAGAAGUUCCUCAAAACAUGGAUAAUUAUGUAAGGGCUUGAAGUCCAGAAAUAUGUACAGAAAAUUGUAAAAAUGUCCAUACCAUGAGAAUAUGUGAUUUUGGCCCGAAGUUCAAAAUCUAAGGGGAUUGAAUGUCCAUACCAUGAGAAUAUGUGAUUUUGGCCUGAAGUUCAAAAUCUAACAGUGUUGAGAACCUGAAGUUCCAACAAUUAAAUGGACAACCCUUGAGGUAUUAUUGCAAAUUGUGGUACGCCACAUAUCUCUUUGGCAUAAGAGAAUGAUGAAUUGAGGCUCCCCACAUAUUUUGUUAUAUCUGGGCCGGAAGCUCAUGAACCCAAAUAUAUUACGAUAUUAUCGUAGCUUUUACUCAAUUCAUAUUUCAUUUAAAAAGGGCAAAUAAAUUCUGAGUUUGUGUUUAGCCCAGGCCAAAAGUUCCGGGCUCCCAUACGUUGAAAUAUGAAAUUUGGGAGAGUCGAUGUGGUUAUUUGAACCUAUAAGGCACAAGGUUCCAAACCGUCAUUUUGAAAAGACGUAAAAACCACAGGUGCAAAUUUUAAGAAUGUGCGCAAUUAUUAUAACAGGAAAUAUGGCUACAGUUUUUCAGAAUCCCAAUAUCUUUUCGGAUCCCCAUUUUAUCUUUUUCUUUCCCAGAGUCCAAAACUUCACGUGGCCUCUGAUAAUGCAUGUCGGCACUUUCGGCGUUUUUCAAGUAUUAUUUUCGUCAAAGCUGAUCUUGCUUUACGGAUUUCACGGAGCUAUUUUUUCAAAAGUACCCCGAGAAUCUCGCAAUUUUCCUAUGGUUAAUUUGAAAUUCAGCGGUUCUACCUAUUCAUUGUAUUUGUGUAUAAAUGUGUUACUAACGAAAUUUUCUUUGCAGAAGACAUUCAGUUUUCUCCAUACCUAGUGAUGCGAUAUCUACUUUUUUUUCUUAUCAGUGAGCACUUAAUAUGCCCGAGAAGCAAGACUAUCUCUGAUCAUCCAUUCAGGAAGCGAGACUAUCCCUGAUCACGUUUCCGCCACAUCAGGGAACUGUGAAGGCAACCUUAUGCUCUAAUCUCCGGAAGUUCAUCUAAACUAGAAGAAAUGAGAGCUUGUCGUUUGCUCCCACCAGCUUCCUUCCUUGAUUGCUCAGCUUGUUGUCUGCUCCCACCAGCUUCCUCCCUUGAUUGCUUACCUUCUCUUGCAAUCAAUAUCACAUUAUUUUUGCAUUUUUUCUCUUUCUAUAACUCUCUGAGGAUUAUUUGUUUUUGACAGAGAAAAGAGUUGUGAUUUUACUCUUGCAGGAUAUAACUAGAUCAUCAAGCGCUACAUUUACUGGGCCGAUACAAGCUUGAAUGAUACUUGAGAAAAGUUUAUCCCACCUAAGGAUGUAAGCAAUACUUGUGUUAUUUUAUGCUUAUAUACUUAUUUGAUAUUUUAUCUUGAAAGGUAACCAAAUGGGAAGAUAAGUCUGUUCCAAAAGAAUGGCUUGUAUGUAUCCAUGAAUUAUUAAUGCAAAUUUUACAGAUUGCAAGUUGGAUACAUUGAUAAUACACUGCACAGAUUAAAGUCCCAUAAAAACAGAAUAUGGGUAUAGCAGUGAUCAAUAUGAUGCACGCCUGUUGCGUAGCAAAUGAUAUGGAUUGAAGUCCCGAAAGGACAAUCCUUUGACAUGUCAAUAUUGAUAUUAUGCACGCCUAAUGCGUAGCAAAUUAUAUGGGUUAAAGUCCCAUAAUAUGGGUUAAAGUCCCAGAAAUUAAUUGACAUGUAUGUAUUAAUCUGUGGCAUGUCUGCAGCAUGACAGAUAUAUGGGUUCUAAAUGUUCCAACUCUCUAAAAAGAGAUUAUCCACGCCCUACUGUAAAAUAACGCUCCAUUGGAGGUUAUAAUCCACAUUCUCACAUAAUAAAAGCCCCAUGAAGUGGCUUGGGUACCCAAAAGCAAAGGAAUGCUUAUAAUUGAUGCAUGCGCAUGCACAUGAGAAUUGUGAGAUUAUGAAUUGAUGAAUGACAAUUUUUGGUUUUGGAGUAGCUACUCAAAUCAUCAAUGGGCUGUGUUGAUUGGAACCACGUUCAAUUAUUAAAUGUCGACAAUAUCAUUGGCCAAAAUGGAACGAGGUAAUUCCAUUAUAGAUGAGAAUGAACGUGAAAGAACAAACCCACAGUACGAACCCCAAAAUAUGUUAAUACUGAAAUUUAUACUUGGGUGUUCGGAAUAAAAGGGAAUAUACCUACUUUGUAUGACACACUGUUUCUAGCAGAAACAAGGAAUGUUGGGUUUUCUCCAUAUUUACAGAUUCCAAUUGUGCCCNNNNNNNNNNNNNNNNNNNNNNNNNNNNNNNNNNNNNNNNNNNNNNNNNNNNNNNNNNNNNNNNNNNNNNNNNNNNNNNNNNNNNNNNNNNNNNNNNNNNNNNNNNNNNNNNNNNNNNNNNNNNNNNNNNNNNNNNNNNNNNNNNNNNNNNNNNNNNNNNNNNNNNNNNNNUGCAUGAAGCAAGUCCCCGAUUCCUAAAGAUGUAUAAAUAGCUGAGUUAGAGCUAUAUAAUGUGUCAUAAAGUUUAAUCCCUUUAGACAAAAUCCGUUGAGAGGAUUUACAUUGCAUAAAGCAAGUCCCUAAAGGACAUGUGCUUGAAGCACAAAAUUUGUACUCAAUAUUAAUAUGCAUAAAUUACCUCAGUGAGUACAUUGAUUAUAAUGUGAUUGCAACACAUUAAAACUUCUACAGAAUUCACGAAAUAUUUGUCUCGAUCGAGUAUUAUGCCAACGAGAUUCUUGCUUAUACUAAGAAAGUAUUGAAGCAUUUUUAUGAGUCUUAUCCGUUGGUCCUUAAAUGUUUUUCCGGAAGUAUACUAGACCAUAUAGAGCUCAGCUCCACACUGUACUCUUUUUCCUUCAUCCAGGUUUUUAUCCCAUUGGAUUUUUCCUGGUAAGGUUUUAACGAGGCAGUGUCGCUCAAGGGUUUAGGGUAUACUAUGAAAAUUUUUAUGGUCGAUUACUGGACAAAAUCUAGUCCUAAAUUUUUCAGGGGGAGAUAUUCACAAAGGGGGAGCAUGGUUUUAAUAAAGACCUCCAUACACUGUACUCUUUUUCCUUCAUCCAGGUUUUUAUCCCACUGGGUUUUUCCUGGUAAGGUUUUAACGAGGCCGUGUCGCUCAAGAUUGACUCACAGAAGCAGUGUCAACUACGAUAUUCAGAAAGGUGAACAACAGUAUGACUUAAAGAUAUUUUGCCAAGCAUCAGGAGGAGCGUGCUAUCAAUAAAGAUCUUCAAACACUGUACUCUUUUUCCUUCGUCCAGGUUUUUAUCCCACUGGGUUUUUCCUGGCAAGGUUUUAACGAGGCAGUGUCGCACGCGCGUCAAUAUACACAGAAUUUUAUGUUACACAUGAUUAUGUACUCUUUUUCCCUUUGACCAGUUUUUGUCCCACUGGGUUUUUACUGGCAAGGUUUUUAACGAGGCAUAUUCUGUAUCAUUUGUGGUCUCCAAGGGGGAGUGUUGUAAAUAUAUAGGGUGGAGCCCACCUCCAUUAGAAGGAGCCUUGCCUAUAAAUAAGGCUUCCCCCCUCUCAUUGUAUUUUGCUAAGAUAUGAGAUUGAUAAUACUAAGAGAUGAACCAAUCUAAGAGUUUUUCUACCUCUAAAUUCUCUCUCAAAUUCUUUGGUUUUCUCUCAAAUUCUUUGGUUUUAUAACA